rnacentral:rRNA from 1 species
UACAGAGGUCUCAAGCGUUGUUCGGAUUCAUUGGGCGUAAAGGGUGCGUAGGUGGCGCUGUAAGUCGGGUGUGAAAUUGCGGAGCUUAACUCCGAAACUGCAUUCGAUACUGCGGUGCUUGAGGACUGGAGAGGAGACUGGAAUUCAUGGUGUAGCAGUGAAAUGCGUAGAGAUCAUGAGGAAGACCAGUGGCGAAGGCGGGUCUCUGGACAGUUCCUGACACUGAGGCACGAAGGCCAGGGGAGCAAACGGG